rnacentral:rRNA from 1 species
AUUGAACGCUGGCGGCAGGCCUAACACAUGCAAGUCGAGCGGAUGAAGGGAGCUUGCUCCUGGAUUCAGCGGCGGACGGGUGAGUAAUGCCUAGGAAUCUGCCCGGUAGUGGGGGAUAACGUCCGGAAACGGGCGCUAAUACCGCAUACGUCCUGAGGGAGAAAGUGGGGGAUCUUCGGACCUCACGCUAUCAGAUGAGCCUAGGUCGGAUUAGCUAGUUGGUGGGGUAAAGGCCUACCAAGGCGACGAUCCGUAACUGGUCUGAGAGGAUGAUCAGUCACACUGGGACUGAGACACGGUCCAGACUCCUACGGGAGGCAGCAGUGGGGAAUAUUGGACAAUGGGCGAAAGCCUGAUCCAGCCAUGCCGCGUGUGUGAAGAAGGUCUUCGGAUUGUAAAGCGCUUUAAGUUGGGAAGAAGGGCAGUAAGUUAAUACCUUGCUGUUUUGACGUUACCAACAGAAUAAGCACCGGCUAACUUCGUG